rnacentral:rRNA from 1 species
CCUACGGGAGGCAGCAGUGAGGAAUAUUGGUCAAUGGGCGGGAGCCUGAACCAGCCAAGUCGCGUGAGGGAAGACGGUCCUAUGGAUUGUAAACCUCUUUAGGCGGGGAGCAAUGCCGGGCACGCGUGCCCGGAGGGAGAGUACCCGCAGAAUAAGCAUCGGCUAACUCCGUGCCAGCAGCCGCGGUAAUACGGAGGAUGCGAGCGUUAUCCGGAGUUAUUGGGUUAAAAGGGUGCGUAGGCGGAUUUUUAAGUCAGCGGUAAAAUGUCCGGGCUCAACCCGGGCCGGCCGUUGAAACUGGGGAUCUUGAGUGGGCGAGAAGUAUGCGGAAUGCGUGGUGUAGCGGUGAAAUGCAUAGAUAUCACGCAGAACUCCGAUUGCGAAGGCAGCAUACCGGCGCCCGACUGACGCUGAGGCACGAAAGCGUGGGGAUCGAACAGGAUUAGAUACCCGGGUAGUC